AGGCUGGAAUUUACUGGAUAAAUAUAAUUGAUCAUUUCUCUGCUGGAUGGAGCCUUCCUAUAGCUGCUUUUCUGGAACUCGUUGGCUUAACCUGGAUGUAUGGGGUAAACAGAUUCAUCAAGGACAUUGAGAUGAUGGUUGGGGAAAGGAAUUGGCUCUUCUGGCUGUGGUGGAGAAUGUGUUGGAUUUUUAUCUCUCCGUGUUUGCUGGCAGUAAUCUUUAAUCUGGUCCUUUACAACAUUUGCUCCACCAACAUAUGGACCUGUUCCAUACCCUGUCUGGGCAAUAGCACUUGGCUGGUGUAUGAUAAUCUUCUGUGUUAUGUGGAUCCCCAUUAUCGCCAUUGUGAGAGUUGUCCAAGCUGAGGGCUCCACCUUGUGCCAGAAAGUUUCUGCUGCUUGCACAUCAGCUCCUGAUUGGGGUCCGUACUUGGAAGAACACAGAGAGGAAAGAUACAGAAAAAGGUCUGAUUCUACAGAAGCUCCUAAUUGUGUGCAGCUUCUUACUACAUUUAAGAUUUGAAAGCUACAGAGAAAAAAUUCCCCUUCAAUUUGCAAACAAUGGCCCUCAAAAUCUAAUGCGAUUCUAGUGCGCGGUAAGUUCAGUGGGAGUUCUCCGGAACACCCAUCAACUCAGUUAGGACCCAGCUCCAGCAGCUCCUGGUCUUUUGUUGAUGUUCCUUGUGGCCUGUUGGGGAUGUAGCCUCUCCCUGUACCAAACGUGGCUAACAACAUAUGAAGGGGAUGAGUGAGCAGCGGGUUGUCUGAAUGUCUAAGUUGCUGCAUCUUAGGCUUUUAGUUGAAAUCAGAAAUUGAUUCGUAAUUGCAUGAACACUGAUGAUCAGCUUCAGUGUGGCCCAUCUGAGGUCUCAGGCUAGGCUUACAGCCCAGACCCACAGCUGAUCACAUCAGAAAAAAAUAUACUUCCAGUUUCGAACAGUAUAAGGAAGCUCCUGGUGACAUCAUCUUUUUAAGCAGCAACCAGCACUCUUCUCCAUAACCUGGUUACAUAAUCCAAGCUUUUCAGUCUAAUGCUUAUAUCUAAUAUCUAAGGUGUGCCACUCAUUCCCCCUGCCUUGGCAUUGGGGUGGGGGGUUGGGGGGGAGGUGGUCAAGUAACAGAUACCUCAACUGGGUAAAUGCUGGCACUUACACUGAGAUGUGCACUCCCUUGCUGAUUUUAGAGCCAUCAUUUUCAAAUUGAGGAAUUGGGCUGCUGUAAAGAAAGAUUUAUAUUUCUUGCGAUAAUUUCAAGGAGCAGAUUGGUAACUUUACAAAUUCUAUACCUGUGCGGAGCUGAAGCACAUAUGAGGAAUUCAAGGAAAAUGAUAUUAGGCAUUGGGCUGAAUUCCCAAUUGAGUUUUCCAACAGCUGAAGUUCUGUGCUAGGAAAACAGAUCCAUAUAAGUCCCCCUUUGGCACUUUAUUCAAAAGUAACACGAGUAUAAAAUCAUUAAGGGGAAAUUAGGUAAAUUUAGAAAAGGGCUAUUUGUCACUUUUUCUCAGAAAUCUUAAUUGACGUUUCUUCCAUUGGAUGAGAUUUCUGGUGAGCAGGGAUAUUGUUGGAGCACCAAUGAAAUGGGUGGAAGAGUUCUGAAAAAUGGGGCAAUAGCAGUUAAUUACUGGGCCUCAACUGGGGAGCAACUGGUCUUUCCUUGACCCUCUGUUUCCACUUUAUGACCUAAGAACCCCUAUGCUGCCAUCCAAGAUUUACAGCCUCUUUCCAAUCAUCAAUCCUCAUAACCAAUUGUACCUGGGGAAUAGCGGAAGGAAACGAGCCUAGAAUUCAGGCUCUUUUCCCCAUUAUCAUCUUUAGGUGUCAACGGGUAAGGGGCAGGUGUGGUAAUCUGAGGUGCAAGACACCUUCUAGAGAAUGUGAGCAGAUUGAUCACAUGACUGUAUUGCCCAAUAGCUGUGUGGGGCUGGCUACAAUGUUAAUGAGUGGUUUAGA